GUAACCCGCGACCCAAAACACUUCCUUACCCUGUUCAGAGUCAAUGUGAUGUCAUUAAGCUGUGUUAAAUUCUAAGUUUGGGGUAAACCCCAUAAGUAUAAAAAACCAUACCACAUAAAUGUAACCCGCGACCCAAAACACUUCCUUACCCUGUUCAGAGUCAAUGUGAUGUCAUUAAGCUGUGUUAAAUUCUAAGUUUGGGGUAAACCCCAUAAGUAUAAAAAACCAAGGUGAGUCU
rnacentral:lncRNA from 1 species